rnacentral:SRP_RNA from 1 species
GGGCAAGUCCCGUACGACCAGCUCCCGCUGAAUCCCCCCAGGGCCGGAAGGCAGCAAGGGUAGGCGGUCGUAGCGGUGCGAUGCGGGUCGCUUGCCCCAC